GAUGACCUUUGGCGGCGUGCUUAACACAUGCAAGUCGAACGAAGCAGUUAAGAAGAUUCUUCGGAUGAUUCUUGACUGACUGAGCGGCGGACGGGUGAGUAACGCGUGGGUGACCAGCCCCAUACCGGGGGAUAACAGCUGGAAACGGCUGCUAAUACCGCAUAAGCGCACAGAGCUGCGUGGCUCGGUGUGAAAAACUCCGGUGGUAUGGGAUGGGCCCGCGUCUGAUUAGGCAGUUGGCGGGGUAACGGCCCACCAAACCGACGAUCAGUAGCCGGCCUGAGAGGGCGACCGGCCACAUUGGGACUGAGACACGGCCCAAACUCCUACGGGAGGCAGCGGUGGGGAAUAUUGCACAGUGGGGGAAACCCUGAUGCAGCGACGCCGCGUGAGCGAAGAAGUAUUUCGGUAUGUAAAGCUCUAUCAGCAGGGAAGAUAAUGACGGUACCUGACUAAGAAGCCCCGGCUAACUACGUGCCAGCAGCCGCGGUAAUACGUAGGGGGCAAGCGUUAUCCGGAUUUACUGGGUGUAGGGGGAGCGUAGACGGCAAGGCAAGUCUGAUGUGAAAA
rnacentral:rRNA from 1 species